UCCUGGCUGGCUCAGUUGGUAGAGCAUGUGACUCUUGAUCUCAGGGCCAUGAGAUCAAGCCCCAUACUAGGUG
rnacentral:tRNA from 1 species